rnacentral:rRNA from 1 species
GCGGCCCAUUAGCUUGUUGGUGGGGUAACGGCCUACCAAGGCGACGAUGGGUAGCUGGUCUGAGAGGACGAUCAGCCACACUGGGGACUGANNCACGGCCCAGACUCCUACGGGAGGCAGCAGUGGGGAAUCUUGCGCAAUGCGCGAAAGCGUGACGCAGCAACGCCGCGUGGGGGAAGAAGGCCUUCGGGUUGUAAACCCCUUUCAGUUGGGACGAAGCUUCUCCGGUGAAUAGCCGGGUGGAGUGACGGUACCUUCACAAGAAGCCCCGGCUAACUACGUGCCAGCAGCCGCGGUAAUACGUAGGGGGCUAGCGUUGUCCGGAAUCAUUGGGCGUAAAGAGCGUGUAGGCGGCCCGGUAAGUCCGCUGUGAAAGUCGGGGGCUCAACCCUCGAAUGCCGGUGGAUACUGUCGGGCUAGAGUGCGGAAGAGGCGAGUGGAAUUCCUGGUGUAGCGGUGAAAUGCGCAGAUAUCAGGAGGAACACCGAUUGCGAAGGCAGUUCGCUGGGACGUAACUGACGCUGAGACGCGAAAGCGUGGGGAGCAAACAGGAUUAGAUACCCUGGUAGUCCACGCUGUAAACGAUGGGCACUAGGUGU